GCCUGGGUGGCUUAGUCAGUUAAGCGUCUGACUUCAGCUCAGGUCACGAUCUCAUGGUUCCUGGGUUUGAGCCCCACAUCAGGCU
rnacentral:tRNA from 1 species